ensembl:lncRNA
GGGGACACCAGGGACACCGGGGACUCGGGACAAUGUCGCAACGUCCGCUCACUCCAACCCUCCUGUCUCCAUAUCCUCGUGCAUAUGGUGCAGUUCUGGUGUUUCUUUCCCACAUGCACAUAGGAGGUGUCACCCCACGGCCACGAGCAUCUGUGCUCAGCAGAACCAGAGGAUCCUCCCUCUGCGUUUCCCUUCCCUGGGGAACCCCUUCUGCCUGUUUCCGAGCAGCCCCAAGCCCCUCCACCCCACUCUUGCCCCAUCCCAGAGCCCCCAGAAGGAGCCAUGGUCCCAUGGUGUGCAGCUGCGGGUGCCGGGCUGUGCUGGGUCCCUGCAGUGCUCAGCUCCAGGAGGCAGCGCUGACCACGUGUGGGCCUGAGCCAGCCAAAGAUCCCAAAGCAAGGGGCUUUCCUCCCUCUCCUAUUCUGUUCUGAGUGCCAGAAUCUGCAGCCUGAAGCAAGGUGCAUGGUGCUGCACACAACAAGCAUCGUCCUGCCUUGUGAGGAGAGCCCAAGGGCUGGAAAGAAUGUGGGUAUCAUCAUUCAUCCACGUCCACCUUUCCUUGCAAAAAGGAGAAACUUGUGGCCCUGGGGACAGGCGGAGGAGGGUGCCACUGGUGCUGGCCCAUUUGCCUUGGCACGGUCACCCUUAGGUUGCCCAAUCUGCUAUCUGCGUUUCAUCAACAUCCUGUGUUUACAUGGCUGCAAAUUCCCUGCGAGCAAGGGAGGAAGAGGAGGGAGAGAGCCUCUUCCCCUUCUGCUGCGCGAUGGAGCAACCCCCGGCCCCAGGGCUCCUCACUCUGCCCCAGUCCAUAGUGCUGCCUGGAGAGGCCAGGAAAGUGGAGUGGGUCCCCUUACCCAUGGUAUUGGUGGGAGGUGAAGUGGAGGGCCUGUGGGUGGGAUCCUGGCAGUGGGGUCUCACUUUUGGUACUUGGUUUUGGGGUGAUGGGUGUAAGCAGUGCUGGUGCCUGGCUCUGAGGUCAGGGCUGUGAUGGAGACUCAUGUGAUGAAGGUGGCAGCUGUUAACGAGUUAGCCAGCAGCUGAAGGCUGAGUGCUCCCCCUAUAAAAGGGGAUGGAAGCCACCAGCUGGGUAUGGAUUGGUGGGAAGGGGAAUGAUGUGUGCUGACUUUAGGACCUGCUGCCUUCCCCAGGUGGCUGCUUUCAUCCUGUCCUGCUCUGGGCUGUGUGAGUAACACCACGAUGUGCCGGAUGGGCAAGCCUUACAAACCUUUCUGCUGAGUGCCGCUCUGGAAAUGUCUGACAGAGGCUGUUGGGGGAGAGGAAUCAGAAGGAUCCUGAGACGUGCAGCCACGGGGAGGGCACGAAGGCUGCUUGAAGGAGAGCUCUGCAGCAUACAGAGGGUUUGUGCUAGGGAAAUGGUGCAUGUGUCCUCGCAUCCUGGCACAACCCGCCACGUGAGCAGCGUCUGAGAAGCUCCCUCUUAACGGGGACAUCUGUUAUUUUUCUGGGAUUUAAUCAGAAAAAACCCAGGCGCGAAGCCUUGUGCGUAGGUGAGGGGAUGCUGUGCUGCGGUGACUCAGCGGGGACGUCUGUGACUUUUGAGAACAGAAAUGGUUUCAGAAGAAAUUGUGAAUGAUGGCUCACACAGGGGAGGCUGCGCUCUCAGUCGGUCCAAUUUUGGUUCCUCCUUAGGGCUGGCCUGUUAACAAAGAAGUUAUUAAUAACCAAUGAAGCCCGAGCUCGCGUCAUGCCUUCCUCUGGAAGUUUGGCAAUAGCCGCUAUGGUUCCUCCUUUAGCACCGUACCCAGCUCUGCUGUGGCUGAGAGGAUGUGUGCAAGAGCAGGGUUGGAUGCAGGCACCCAUGUGGGGCUGUAU